rnacentral:rRNA from 1 species
UAGGGAAUCUUCCACAAUGGACGAAAGUCUGAUGGAGCAACGCCGCGUGAGUGAAGAAGGGUUUCGGCUCGUAAAACUCUGUUGUUACAGAAGAACAUAUCUGAGAGUAACUGUUCAGGUAUUGACGGUAUUUAACCAGAAAGCCACGGCUAACUACGUG